GGGUUGUGAGGUUAAGCGACUAAGCGUACACGGUGGAUGCCCUGGCAGUCAGAGGCGAUGAAGGGCGUGCUAAUCUGCGAUAAGCGCCGGUAAGGUGAUAUGAACCGUUAUAACCGGCGAUACCCGAAUGGGGAAACCCAGUGUGAUUCGUCACACUAUCAUUAACUGAAUCCAUAGGUUAAUGAGGCGAACCGGGGGAACUGAAACAUCUAAGUACCCCGAGGAAAAGAAAUCAACCGAGAUUCCCCCAGUAGCGGCGAGCGAACGGGGAGGAGCCCAGAGCCUGAAUCAGCAUGUGUGUUAGUGGAAGCGUCUGGAAAGGCGCGCGAUACAGGGUGACAGCCCCGUACACAAAAGCGCAUGUGCUGUGAGCUCGAUGAGUAGGGCGGGACACGUGGUAUCCUGUCUGAAUAUGGGGGGACCAUCCUCCAAGGCUAAAUACUCCUGACUGACCGAUAGUGAACCAGUACCGUGAGGGAAAGGCGAAAAGAACCCCGGCGAGGGGAGUGAAAAAGAACCUGAAACCGUGUACGUACAAGCAGUGGGAGCACAGGUUUACCUGUGUGACUGCGUACCUUUUGUAUAAUGGGUCAGCGACUUAUAUUCUGUAGCAAGGUUAACCGAAUAGGGGAGCCGUAGGGAAACCGAGUCUUAACCGGGCGUUAAGUUGCAGGGUAUAGACCCGAAACCCGGUGAUCUAGCCAUGGGCAGGUUGAAGGUUGGGUAACACUAACUGGAGGACCGAACCGACUAAUGUUGAAAAAUUAGCGGAUGACCUGUGGCUGGGGGUGAAAGGCCAAUCAAACCGGGAGAUAGCUGGUUCUCCCCGAAAGCUAUUUAGGUAGCGCCUCGUGAACUCAUCUCCGGGGGUAGAGCACUGUUUCGGCUAGGGGGCCAUCCCGGCUUACCAACCCGAUGCAAACUGCGAAUACCGGAGAAUGUUAUCACGGGAGACACACGGCGGGUGCUAACGUCCGUCGUGAAGAGGGAAACAACCCAGACCGCCAGCUAAGGUCCCAAAGUCAUGGUUAAGUGGGAAACGAUGUGGGAAGGCCCAGACAGCCAGGAUGUUGGCUUAGAAGCAGCCAUCAUUUAAAGAAAGCGUAAUAGCUCACUGGUCGAGUCGGCCUGCGCGGAAGAUGUAACGGGGCUAAACCAUGCACCGAAGCUGCGGCAGCGAACGUAUCACUUAAAGCGAUUCAGCGGAUGACGAUUGACGGAGCGAAGCGACGUCAAAGCGUAUACAAAGUCGAGUCGGUUUAAGGAUACGUUCGUUGGGUAGGGGAGCGUUCUGUAAGCCUGUGAAGGUGGCCUGUGAGGGUUGCUGGAGGUAUCAGAAGUGCGAAUGCUGACAUAAGUAACGAUAAAGCGGGUGAAAAGCCCGCUCGCCGGAAGACCAAGGGUUCCUGUCCAACGUUAAUCGGGGCAGGGUGAGUCGACCCCUAAGGCGAGGCCGAAAGGCGUAGUCGAUGGGAAACAGGUUAAUAUUCCUGUACUUGGUGUUACUGCGAAGGGGGGACGGAGAAGGCUAUGUUGGCCGGGCGACGGUUGUCCCGGUUUAAGCGUGUAGGCUGGUUUUCCAGGCAAAUCCGGAAAAUCAAGGCUGAGGCGUGAUGACGAGGCACUACGGUGCUGAAGCAACAAAUGCCCUGCUUCCAGGAAAAGCCUCUAAGCAUCAGGUAACAUCAAAUCGUACCCCAAACCGACACAGGUGGUCAGGUAGAGAAUACCAAGGCGCUUGAGAGAACUCGGGUGAAGGAACUAGGCAAAAUGGUGCCGUAACUUCGGGAGAAGGCACGCUGACACGUAGGUGAAGUGAUUUACUCAUGGAGCUGAAGUCAGUCGAAGAUACCAGCUGGCUGCAACUGUUUAUUAAAAACACAGCACUGUGCAAACACGAAAGUGGACGUAUACGGUGUGACGCCUGCCCGGUGCCGGAAGGUUAAUUGAUGGGGUCAGCGCAAGCGAAGCUCCUGAUCGAAGCCCCGGUAAACGGCGGCCGUAACUAUAACGGUCCUAAGGUAGCGAAAUUCCUUGUCGGGUAAGUUCCGACCUGCACGAAUGGCGUAAUGAUGGCCAGGCUGUCUCCACCCGAGACUCAGUGAAAUUGAACUCGCUGUGAAGAUGCAGUGUACCCGCGGCAAGACGGAAAGACCCCGUGAACCUUUACUAUAGCUUGACACUGAACAUUGAGCCUUGAUGUGUAGGAUAGGUGGGAGGCUUUGAAGUGUGGACGCCAGUCUGCAUGGAGCCGACCUUGAAAUACCACCCUUUAAUGUUUGAUGUUCUAACGUGGACCCGUAAUCCGGGUUGCGGACAGUGUCUGGUGGGUAGUUUGACUGGGGCGGUCUCCUCCUAAAGAGUAACGGAGGAGCACGAAGGUUGGCUAAUCCUGGUCGGACAUCAGGAGGUUAGUGCAAUGGCAUAAGCCAGCUUGACUGCGAGCGUGACGGCGCGAGCAGGUGCGAAAGCAGGUCAUAGUGAUCCGGUGGUUCUGAAUGGAAGGGCCAUCGCUCAACGGAUAAAAGGUACUCCGGGGAUAACAGGCUGAUACCGCCCAAGAGUUCAUAUCGACGGCGGUGUUUGGCACCUCGAUGUCGGCUCAUCACAUCCUGGGGCUGAAGUAGGUCCCAAGGGUAUGGCUGUUCGCCAUUUAAAGUGGUACGCGAGCUGGGUUUAGAACGUCGUGAGACAGUUCGGUCCCUAUCUGCCGUGGGCGCUGGAGAACUGAGGGGGGCUGCUCCUAGUACGAGAGGACCGGAGUGGACGCAUCACUGGUGUUCGGGUUGUCAUGCCAAUGGCACUGCCCGGUAGCUAAAUGCGGAAGAGAUAAGUGCUGAAAGCAUCUAAGCACGAAACUUGCCCCGAGAUGAGUUCUCCCUGAGACUUAGAGUCUCCUGAAGGAACGUUGAAGACGACGACGUUGAUAGGCCGGGUGUGUAAGCGCAGCGAUGCGUUGAGCUAACCGGUACUAAUGAACCGUGAGGCUUAACCUUACAACGCCGAAGGUGUUU
rnacentral:rRNA from 1 species